ACAGCAGUCGCCGCGGUAAUACAGAGGGUGCAAGCGUUAAUCGGAAUUACUGGGCGUAAAGCGCGCGUAGGUGGUUUGUUAAGUUGGAUGUGAAAGCCCCGGGCUCAACCUGGGAACUGCAUCCAAAACUGGCAAGCUAGAGUACGGUAGAGGGUGGUGGAAUUUCCUGUGUAGCGGUGAAAUGCGUAGAUAUAGGAAGGAACACCAGUGGCGAAGGCGACCACCUGGACUGAUACUGACACUGAGGUGCGAAAGCGUGGGGAGCAAACAGGAUUAGAUACCCCAGUAGUCCCUGUCUCUUAUAA
rnacentral:rRNA from 1 species